ACAGACCAACACAGGUAUGAUCUUGCCCCUCCUCCUCCGGCCACAAGUGAUUAAAUCAGGUGGACGCCCCACACACCUGGCCCAAUCAGCUGCUGCGUCUCAAGAGUUCAGACUUGAAGGCCUGAGCUAGUGUGCUGUGAUGAGCUACACGGACAGGUCUUGCUAGUUGCAGGACUUGGACUUACUUUGGGUGUGGCCACAGGAGUCUUGUGAGAGAAGAAUACAAAGUCUUGGAACUGUGAAUUAUCCACAAAGAAAAGAAAAGCAAAAACUCCAGCUUCCAGGUUAGAUGGCAUCAGUGACUCAAUGGACAUGAAUUUGAGCAAACUCCCGGAGAUAGUAAAGAACAGGGAAGCCUGGUGUGCUGCAGUCCAUGGGGUCGCAAAGAGUCAGACAUGCCUUAGAGACUGAAUAGCAACAUGUAUUUGUUGAGAAAUUAUUAUGUUCUUUGCUAGGAGUUGUAUAUCCAAAGAUGAACAAGUUCCUUAACUUUGAGGAGCUUAAAGUUAGGGAUAGAAGCAUGCUCAGUGGCUCAAUCAUGUCCAACUCUUUGAGACCCCUGGGACUGUAGCCCACCAGGCUCCUCUGUCCAUGGAAUUUUCCAGUUUAAAAAGGGAGGUGGACGGUCACCAACUGUACCUGCUGAAGUUCUCCUCGAGCCGAUAGAGCUGUUGAUCACUUUCACAAGCCCUCGAGACGCUGGCAAAAAUGAAUCCACUAUCGUUUGGGACAGACCUGGGCCAGCGAUGACUCUUUGUUGACACUUGCAUUCUUUGAACAGAGAGACACACAGUUGCCAGGAACACUCAGAUUCCUGCCAUUACAGAGGAGCCUCAGUUACUUUUUUGACGUGGUGUCGGUUCCUCUAUUAACUGUCGCGGGUCCCCACGCAGGUGACUCCAUGCGGCGCUGCUUUCUUCCCCAGGGCUGCGGUGGCCUUCCUAGUGCAUUGUUCCUAACUUUGCGUUCAGAUUGCUUGGGUUGCAGAAUUCUAAGAAAUAAAACGAUGCCAAU
ensembl:lncRNA